GUAUAGAUUCCAAGGUCUGUCUGGGUUGUGUUAGAGAGGGAUCUUGUGGAUUCUUGUAAAGCUGGAGAUGAUGUUAUUGUUACUGGUAUUGUCAGACAGCAGUGGAAAUCUCUUAACUCUGGUAGUACGUGUUUGUUGGAAGUGGUUAUACAUGCAAAUCACAUUGUACUCAAGACAUCUAGUCAAGAGAAGAAUGACAUCACUGAUGAAAUGAAGUCGUUUUUUGAUGCCUUUUGGUGUAGUUAUAAGGACAAUCCAUUGGAAGGUCGUAACGUAAUUAUUGCUAGUUUCUGUCCUCAAGUAUUUGGACUAUAUGUAGUUAAGCUUUGUAUAUGCUUAGCUCUCGUUAGAGGGGUCCAGGUCAGUUUAAU